rnacentral:rRNA from 1 species
AUUGAAUGCUGGCGGCAUGCUUUACGCAUGCAAGUCGAACGGCAGCGCGGGGCAACCUGGCGGCGAGUGGCGAACGGGUGAGUAAUAUAUCGGAACGUACCCAGAAGUGGGGGAUAACGUAGCGAAAGUUACGCUAAUACCGCAUACGAUCUACGGAUGAAAGUGGGGGACCUUCGGGCCUCAUGCUUGUGGAGCGGCCGAUAUCUGAUUAGCUAGUUGGUAGGGUAAAGGCCUACCAAGGCGACGAUCAGUAGCUGGUCUGAGAGGACGACCAGCCACACUGGGACUGAGACACGGCCCAGACUCCUACGGGAGGCAGCAGUGGGGAAUUUUGGACAAUGGGCGCAAGCCUGAUCCAGCAAUGCCGCGUGAGUGAAGAAGGCCUUCGGGUUGUAAAGCUCUUUUGUCAGGGAAGAAACGGUGGAGGCUAAUAUCCUCCACUAAUGACGGUACCUGAAGAAUAAGCACCGGCUAACUACGUGCCAGCAGCCGCGGUAAUAC